UACGGAGGAUCCAAGCGUUAUCCGGAUUUAUUGGGUUUAAAGGGUGCGUAGGCGGCCUAUUAAGUCAGGGGUGAAAGACGGUAGCUUAACUAUCGCAGUGCCUUUGAUACUGAUGGGCUUGAAUAUACUAGAGGUAGGCGGAAUGUGACAAGUAGCGGUGAAAUGCAUAGAUAUGUCACAGAACACCAAUUGCGAAGGCAGCUUACUAUGGUAUUAUUGACGCUGAGGCAUGAAAGCGUGGGGAUCAAACAGG
rnacentral:rRNA from 1 species